rnacentral:rRNA from 1 species
UCCGUAGGUGAACCUGCGGAAGGAUCAUUAAUAGUGCCCUCUGAUGCAAAUCAUUGGGUUAGAUCUGCUCUCUUCGCAAGAAGAGGGUUUCCAUACACACCGUGAACUGUGGCUUCGGCCAUCACAAACUGUUAGUAAUGAAUGUAAUAUCAUAACAAAAACAAAACUUUUAACAACGGAUCUCUUGGCUCUCGCAUCGAUGAAGAACGCAGCGAAAUGCGAUAAGUAAUGUGAAUUGCAGAAUUCAGUGAAUCAUCGAAUCUUUGAACGCACCUUGCGCCCUUUGGUAUUCCGAAGGGCAUGCCUGUUUGAGUGUCAUGAAACCUCACCCCACUUGGGUUUUUGCCUGAGCGGUGGUGUAUUGGGUGUUGCCUUGCUAAAGGCUCGCCUUAAAGACAUAAGCACCUUGGAUGUAAUACGUUUCAUCCUUCUGGGUGGCUAAUAACCCCACAUAUUCAUGAUCUGGCCUCAAAUCAGGUAUGGUCUACCCGCUGAACUUAAGCAUAUCAAUAUNAAAGCGGAAGGAA